rnacentral:rRNA from 1 species
ACGCUCGACACCUACGGUAGGCAGCAGUGGGGAAUAUUGCACAAUGGGGGGAACCCUGAUGCAGCGACGCCGCGUGAGUGAAGAAGUACUUCGGUAUGUAAAGCUCUAUCAGCAGGGAAGAAAAUGACGGUACCUGACUAAGAAGCCCCGGCUAACUACGUGCCAGAAGCCGCGGUAAUCUGAGCGGGCUGGCAAGGC